CGCGUGGGCAACCUGCCCUGUACCGGGGGACAACAGCCAGAAAUGGCUGCUAAUACCGCAUAAGCCUGCGGUGCCGCAUGGCACAGCAGGGGAAACCACGGUGGUACAGGAUGGGCCCGCGUCUGAUUAGUUAGUUGGCAGGGUAACGGCCUACCAAGACGAUGAUCAGUAGCCGGCUUGAGAGAGUGGACGGCCACAUUGGGACUGAUACACGGCCCAGACUCCUGCGGGAGGCAGCAGUGGGGAAUAUUGCACAAUGGGGGGAACCCUGAUGCAGCAAUGCCGCGUGGGUGAAGAAGCACUCCGGUGCGUAAAGCCCUGUCAGCAGGGAAGAAAAUGACAGUACCUGACCAAGAAGCCCCGGCUAACUACGUGCCAUCAGCCGCGGUAAUACGUAGGGGGCAAGCGUUAUCCGGAUUUACUGGGUGUAAAGGGAGCGCAGGCGGUAUGGCAAGUCAGAUGUGAAAACCCAGGGCCCAACCCUGGGACUGCAUUUGAAACUGCCAUACUGGAGUGCCGGAGAGGUAAGUGGAAUUCCU
rnacentral:rRNA from 1 species